ACGGAAUUCACGACACAAGCGGUUCACAAAAUGUGUUAGGCUAUAAAAAUGGAUUUUAUCAAACAAAAUACUGUUCAUUGUGUAACAAUGAGCAUUGGAAUUGCAAACAGAAGAAGAUUGUCAAAGUUAUGUCAACUGGCUGAGGAAGCAGAUGGCCCGGAAUCCUGGGGACCCCAUGGAAGCUGCCCUGAAUGACAUUAAGCGCUGCGACCAGAAGGCAGCCGCACCCCCAACAGCCUUAAAGACCCGGCCAGGUCUCGUUUGUUUGUUUGUUUGUUUGUUAUUAAAGUCCACUUGGUCGAGCGGUCGCAGCAUUUCUGGGGCAGCGAUCAGUGCCCCCAGGCAAACUGUAGUCGACGGUGAAGAAGAUCUUGGCCCCGAAGUCUGCAGUUCCAAGGCUGUCUGCUUCCCGAACAGCUCUGCAAUUGGCUCUAAAAUCCGCAGAUACCUCACAUGCAGAGCUGG
ensembl:lncRNA